AUUGCCUCACAAAUCCUGUUUGUUACUGUAUAGAAUUGUAAGAAUUAUGGAAGAAACUGAAGGAAUUACUCCUCUAAAGCAGAUACUCCUGGAAAGUUACACAACUUGGCUAAUACUCUCCUGCUAGAGUUGGACAGGAAGACCUUACCAAAGCUGAAAGAUAAGAGAAACAUUUGUUUGGGCUGAGGCAGCUGUUUCAUGAAAUGCAACAUCAUAUCUCAUUUUUCUUCAUGAACUUCUCUC